AUUGAACGCUGGCGGCAGGCUUAACACAUGCAAGUCGAGCGGGGAAAUAUAGCUUGCUAUAUUACCUAGCGGCGGACGGGUGAGUAAUGCUUAGGAAUCUGCCUAUUAGUGGGGGACAACAUUUCGAAAGGGAUGCUAAUACCGCAUACGCCCUACGGCGGAAAGCAGGGGAUCAUUUGACCGUGAGCUAAGAGAUGAGCCUAAGUCGGAGGAGCUAGUGGGUGGGGAAAAGGCCUACCAAGGCGACGAUCUGUAGCGGGUCUGAGAGGAUGAUCCGCCACACUGGGACUGAGACACGGCCCAGACUCCUACGGGAGGCAGCAGCGGGGAAUAUUGGACAAUGGGGGGAACCCUGAUCCAGCCAUGCCGCGUGUGUGAAGAAGGCCUUUUGGUUGUAAAGCACUUUAAGCGAGGAGGAGGCUCCUGUAGAUAAUACCUACAGAGAGUGGACGUUACUCGCAGAAUAAGCACCGGCUAACUCUGUGCCAGCCGCCGCGGUAA
rnacentral:rRNA from 1 species